GUCCAGGUUAGCCGAGUGGACAAGGUACCUACCUGCCCGGUAAGCAGAAGGGUGUGGGUUCGAUUCCCGCCCCUGGACA
rnacentral:tRNA from 1 species